rnacentral:miRNA from 10 species
UAUUAGGUUGGUGCAAAAGUAAUUAAGGGUUUUGCCAUGAUUUUCAAUGGCAAAACAUGCAAUUACUUUUGCACCAAUGUAUACU